GACGAACGCUGGCGGCGUGCUUAACACAUGCAAGUCGAACGAUGAACUUGGAGCUUGCUCUGGGGGAUUAGUGGCGAACGGGUGAGUAACACGUGAGUAACCUGCCCUGGACUCUGGGAUAACUUCGAGAAAUCGGAGCUAAUACCGGAUAGGACCUUGCACCGCAUGGUGUGGGGUGGAAAGUUUUUCGGUUUGGGAUGGACUCGCGGCCUAUCAGCUUGUUGGUGAGGUAAUGCCUCACCAAGGCGUCGACGGGUAGCCGGCCUGAGAGGGUGACCGGCGACACUGGGACUGAGACACGGCCCAGACUCCUACGGGAGGCAGCAGUGGGGAAUAUUGCACAAUGGGCGAAAGCCUGAUGCAGCAACGCCGCGUGCGGGAUGACGGCCUUCGGGUUGUAAACCGCUUUUAGUAGGGAAGAAGCCUUCGGGUGACGGUACCUGCAGAAAAAGGACCGGCUAACUACGUGCCAGCAGCCGCGGUAAGAC
rnacentral:rRNA from 1 species